CCGCCCUGUUGACUUCACCUCCGCCUCUCUUGUCCCGGCUGUAGUUGAAGUUGAAGCCCUAGAAGACGAAGAAUUAGAAGCGGAGCCAUUCGUCGGGCGAAUGUCGAGAACCUUCCAUCCUACCCCUCCGCCACCGCCGCCUCAUGAACCACGGAUGGCGCCGCCUCCGCCGCCGAACUCGGUGCCCGCAGCCGAGGGCUCCUCGGGUGGUGCUGGGGUCGCGGCGGCUGCGACCCUUCUGGUCCGGCAUCUACCGGAAGCGAUGCCUUAUGACGUGCUUUCUCGCCUCUUUUCUCACUACGGCGCUUCCUCCGUCCGCCCUUGCGCUGGUGGGAGGCUAAGGAAUUGCGCUUUUGUGGAUUUCAAGGACGAAGCGCUGGCUGCUCAAGCACAAUCACAAUUGAACAGGUUGAGAUUCCUUGGAAAAGUCUUAACAGUCGAGAGAGCAGGCAGGGCUAAUUUGAAGAAUGCCGAUCAACAAAAUGAAUGUCAGUCAGCAAAGGAUUCAGCAUCUGCAAAAACAUCCCAUCUAAAUGAAUCUUUGGUAACACAAAAGAACUCAUCUACUGGUGAACCGAUUGCUCCUAGGCUGGGUGUGGAUUAUCCUUUUCCACCAAAUCUCGAGUAUGCAUAUCCACCACCUGACGGGAAUAUAUUGACCAAUAUGGUCAACGCCCUUAUUGCUGUUCCUCGUUUUUAUAUUCAGGUUUUGCAUUUGAUGAACAAAAUGAAUAUUCCAGCUCCAUUUCGCAUGGCAUUGCCUACUCCACCCUUACCACCCCCAGUUCCUGCUGCUGCUCCUCCACCACCUCCACCGCCUCCUACUACAACAUCGACAAAACCAAAUCUGAAUGAUCUCUCCAGUGAUGAGUCUGAGAUGGAAUCAUCAGAAGAAGAUGCUGAGAGUGGUCGCAAUCGAAAGCGUAUGAGACGAGAAGUAAUUGUCGGUCCUGCAGUUGAUAAAGGUGUAGCACAUGAAGACGUUGGAUUAAAACCCGUUUCCUUGGUUCCAGUUAUUAGAAAGAAAAAUCCUGUUUUACAGAUUAAGGUUACCCCUAAGCCAACAACUAAGGAGACUACAGAUUAUAGUGGCAGCACAAAGGAACCAGACUCAGCUAAUCAGGUUUUGGAGCAAAAAGUUUUUGCAUUACCACAAGAGAUAGAGAGUGGGAAAUUGCCUCCAGAGGAGAUAUUAUCUCUUCCCAUGUUCAAGAACUAUUCUCCUGGAAAUCCUGCAAAUGUCUUGUACAUCAAAAACUUGUCAAAAGAUGUGGUUGUUGAUGACUUCUACUAUAUAUUUGGGUCACUUUUUGAAAGUAUUGAAGGUGCUAGAGCUGGUCUCAAUAUUAAGUUAAUGCAGGAAGGGCGAAUGAGGGGUCAAGCAUUCGUGACAUUUCCAUCUGUAGAUCUUGCUCAGAAUGCAUUGAAUCUAGUUAAUGGAUACAUGUUCAAAGGAAAACCAAUAAUCAUUCAGUUUGGUCGUAAUCCUGCUGCUGGCAAAGGAAAUUAAAUCAAAGCACUACAUGAGGGUUCCACUUCGCAUUCUAGCACAAUCUCAAUACUGUUAUAGGAGAGCUGCUGAAGGAUGAAAUGUUAUUGAACUUAAUAUUCAUUAAACAUGCUCAAUGGUCAGGUGGUUGUUGAAGACCGGUUCUGUGGCAGCUGACAUGAGACCUAGAGCAGAAUGUCACAUAGAUAUGUUCUUGACAUGGAAUUUUGCCAGGUCGAGCAAUUUGAUGGCUCAGAGAAUUUGGAAUUUGGAGACGAUCUGAGAAAUUCGAGCAUUUAGGAAAAUUCUUGUGGGCUGAUCCCAAAGAAGGCAUGAACGAACUGCACCUGUUUUCACAAGUCAAAUUUUGUAAAAGAAAAUAGUCAUACUGAGUGUUGCUGUGCCAACUACAUUGCAGCCCUCGGGGGCUCAUCAUGUUCUUUUCUUAGGUUGACAGAAUAAUUGGAAUACAGAAGGAAAAGAUGCACAUUGGAAUUAUCUGCUCUAUCAGGAAGAUGGUCUUCGUGUAGAUAAAUCAUAUCAAGUUCGUUACUAAUCUCGCAGCAAGCGAGUGGAUUAUUUGUGUGGCUUCCUAAUGUGUUACCAACUGACAGCAAACUGUAACUUAUUUUGUAGGCAGUACCAGUCGAGUGUACAUUAUGUUGCCAGUGAACCUAUAAGGAGUAAUUUUCUCUGGGCUGUAUUUUUUUUAGGUUCACUAGGAUUCUUAGAGGUUGGAACUAACAGGUAUCUUUCUAUGGGAUCACCCGUCAAUCUAUUUGUGGUGCAAGAUUUGGUAGAAAAGGAGUAGUGUGUACUCUCCUUCAUAUAGUAAUCAAAGGCCAAGGAGUCGUUCUCUGUACUGAUGAGAAUUUUACUCUAUGAAAAAUUGUCUCAUGGAACAAAUUGGAUUA